GAUGAACGCUGGCGGCGUGCUUAAUACAUGCAAGUCGAGCGAACAGACGAGGCGCUUGCUCCUCUGUCGUUAGCGGAGGACGGGUGUGUCACACGUGGAUAACCUACUUAUAAGACUGGGAUCAUCUCGGGACAGCGGCGCAAAUACCGGAUAAUAUCUUGCACCGCAUGGGUCAAUAGUAAAAGUCGGUUUUUCUGUCAUGACUCGCUGGUUACGGGCUGGAUUGGGUGGUUGUGAAGGUAAAGGCCUUCCACGGCGACGAUGCGUAGCCGAACUCAGAGGGGGAUAGGCCACACUGGAACGGAGACACGGACAAGGCGCCUACGGUAGGCAGCAGUAGGGAAUCGUCCGCAAUGGGCGAAAACCUGACGGAGCGACGCCGAGUGAGUGGUGGAGGUCUUCGGAGCGUAAAGCUCUGUUAUGAGGGAAGAACAAAUGUGGAAGGAACUAUGCACGUCUUGACGGUACUGAAUCAGAAAGCCACGGCUAACUACGUG
rnacentral:rRNA from 1 species